ACCAAUAACUACAAAAUGCCUACAACUUCCGGAUCACUUCCCAAUAACCCCGGAACACUGCCCCCCUCCCUCUCUCUCUACCUGCCCACAGCCCACACACACACAGAUCGAGAGAGAUACUGCAGCAAUUAUAACUGAUGCCGUUACACUACCCCCCCACCACAAAGUGCCUCGCCCACGAGGACAACCAGCAAAAACACAAAACUUGCAUUUUUAAACAGACACAUCUACACCUGAAGACUGUUUUUUUUUUUUUUUUUUUUUUUUUUGAACAAAGUGCAUUCACAAUCUCAAACUCCUAACCUAGAGGGGCCCGGGUAGACUACCGGUCCCCCCUGUGAGACCAGGGCGCAUUCUAGCCCUUUCAGGAACGGGGAACAAGGUCUCACUCACUUCUUAACACCCGUAGGAACAACAAAGUACUUGAGCCUAUCUGGGGCUCUCUUCUUCCUCUGUGGCCGCGACGCCUGGGGCCCAGGUACCAGGGAAGCAGGGGAGUCCGCCCCAAUCAGGGAACCAGGGGAAGGGGGACUCAGGGAACCCGGCAACUGUGAAACGCCAGCCGGAACCGACAGAUCCGUAGACCGGUCUGACACCUCCGGUGUUUGGGAGCAAACGCCCCCUCGGGAGAGGGCCAGUCUGUCUCUGUGCAGCGCGACCUUUCUGCCUCUUCCAGGCAGCUGCACUCGGUAGACCACUUCUCCCAGCCGCUCCAACACUCAACACGGGCCCACCCACUGACUGUCCAGCUUUGGACAUCGGCCCUUUUUGCACUGGGGGGAGAAAACCCAGACCAGCUCUCCAGCCAGAAAGUGUCUCCCACGCUCUUUCACGUCAUAGUUUCGCUUCUGCCGCACUCCGGCUCUCUGCUGCUGCUCCCUAGCAAAACAGUAUGCCGAUUCCAGGCGAUCCUGCAACCUCCGGGCAUACUCCGGACCUGGAGGGGUAUCGCCCUCAUCCAGGGGCCGGCCGAACGCCAGUGCCACCGGAGUGCGGAGCUCCCUCCCCAGCAUCAGGAGAGCCGGAGUGCAGGCUGUGGACUCCUGCACAGCAGAACGACAGGCCAGGAGCACAAGGGGAAGAUGGUCGUCCCAGUCCUGCUGAUGCUUUGCUGUGACAAUCGCCAACUGUUGGUUCAUUGUCCGGUGGAACCUCUCUAUCAGACCGUCACUCUGUGGGUGUAACAGAGUGGUGCGGGUCUUGUGAACCCCCAGCCGCUCACACAUGGUGGUAAACACCCGAGACUCAAAGUUUCUUCCCUGGUCAGAGUGCAAGGUCUCCGGCACUCCAAACCGGCUGACCAUGCCCCCUGACAGAGCAUCCACCACAGUCUCUGCCUCCUGGUCAGGAAGGGCGUACGCUUCGGGCCAAUUCGUGAAAUAGUCAAUGGCAGUGAGAAUGUAGCGAUUGCCUCUGUUUGAAGGUGGGAAAGGCCCCACUACGUCCACUGCCACCCUCUCCAUUGGGCCCCCCACCAGGCACUGUUGGAGCGGGGCAUGUGAUCGGCCCGUGGGACCCUUGCGGGCCGUGCAGGGGUCACAACGGCGACAAAAAUCCUCCACGUCCCUCCGGCACCGACCCCAGUAGAAGCUCUGACGGAGGCGGUGUAGUGUCUUUCUCCUUCCAAAAUGACCGGAACCUGCCGCCCCGUGUACAGCCUCCAGCACCUUCCCGCGCAGGCUUGCUGGAACCACCACCUGCCAGGUCACCUCUCCCGUCGCAGGGGACUUCCAUCCCCGCUGCAGUACGCCCUGGUGUAGACGAAGGGCCUCGAAACCGGACCACAGCCCC
rnacentral:lncRNA from 1 species